rnacentral:rRNA from 1 species
GGUACUCCGGGGAUAACAGGCUGAUACCGCCCAAGAGUUCAUAUCGACGGCGGUGUUUGGCACCUCGAUGUCGGCUCAUCACAUCCUGGGGCUGAAGUAGGUCCCAAGGGUAUGGCUGUUCGCCAUUUAAAGUGGUACGCGAGCUGGGUUUAGAACGUCGUGAGACAGUUCGGUCCCUAUCUGCCGUGGGCGCUGGAGAACUGAGGGGGGCUGCUCCUAGUACGAGAGGACCGGAGUGGACGCAUCACUGGUGUUCGGGUUGUCAUGCCAAUGGCACUGCCCGGUAGCUAAAUGCGGAAGAGAUAAGUGCUGAAAGCAUCUAAGCACGAAACUUGCCCCGAGAUGAGUUCUCCCUGACUCCUUGAGAGUCCUGAAGGAACGUUGAAGACGACGACGUUGAUAGGCCGGGUGUGUAAGCGCAGCGAUGCGUUGAGCUAACCGGUACUAAUGAACCGUGAGGCUUAACCUU